UACGUAGGGCGCAAGCGUUGUCCGGAAUUAUUGGGCGUAAAGAGCUCGUAGGCGGCCUGUUACGUCUGCUGUGAAAUCCCGGGGCUUAACCCCGGGCGUGCAGUGGAUACGGGCAGGCUGGAGGCAGGCAGGGGAGAACGGAAUUCCCGGUGUAGCGGUGAAAUGCGCAGAUAUCGGGAGGAACACCGGUGGCGAAGGCGGUUCUCUGGGCCUGUACUGACGCUGAGGAGCGAAAGCAUGGGGAGCGAACAGG
rnacentral:rRNA from 1 species